GUCGUGGGGCGCGCUCCUCGGGUGGGAGCAUGAAAGAGCGUCUUUGCCCCUCACUCCUCGGUUUCUCCUCCCUGGAAUGUCGCGGCCCCCCACCCCUCUCUAGGAGAGACGGCAGACAACAAAGGGGCCCGGGGUGGCGGCCAGAGGGACGAUGUGAGGGACGCCGCCGAGCCAGCGCCAGGGGAAGUUGGGGACGAAGGUGGGGGCUGGGAGGACGACAAACCAAAACAGCGACCUGGCUGAGAAGCCCCUUUGUCUGGGAGACAGCCGGGCGAAAGCCCAAAGCUGAGAGCAGCCCCGGGGUCUGACGCUUUCGUCACCCUGCAGCCGCACCCGGGCCUUUGGGUGGUGACAGCUGGGCCUGGGUUCGACGCCCGCGGGCGCAGGGAGACCGGCUCCCCUUUGCUGUGUGAAAGUUUAGUUCUUUGUAGCCAGCCGCCCUCGUUGAAGGCCCCACCGUCUUCCUGAGGAAGUUUCUAAGCAUCCCUUCACCCCUUGAGCGCAGUCACCCCCAGACUGUUGAAGUCCGCCAGGUUUACAUACCCUGGCGGGUCACGUGUAUAUAUAAUCCCCCCAACUUCGUGAAAGUAAGCCAUUUGAGUUCCUUUAAAAUGCAAACGUCAACUUCUGUUCAGAAGACUUUAAAAGAGGAGAAAUGCCACAGCAGUUAUGAGGACAAAUCAAGACUCAAGGAUUUGGCAGUUUAACUUUGGUAGAAAUAACUAAUGUUUACUGAGAGUUUAACCACAGCUUUAAUACUUUUGGUAUUUAAUCCUCACAAUAACCGUGUGAAAUAGAUACUUUUACACACCCUCCUUCAAGGAAGUUGAGUCACAGAAAAGGUAACUUGCCCAGGGGCACACAGCUGAUAAGUAGAUUGGAAUCCAAGUAAAUCUACAUUUAGAGCCGACCUUAUCACUAGGCCUUCAUCUCUCUCACACUUAACACCCAUUCCAGAAACUCCCGUCAGCUAUCAGUUAUACCACUGGGUUGAUGACUAGCUUAGAGUCUUGAAUAAGAAGGCAGCACAGAUAAAAAUACACCUGCCUUAGUAAUCAGUCUGUGGGCUUACGUUUGUCUCUCUGAAAAGGAGGCAGUGGAACUCAUCAAUGCAAUCCCUUCUUGCCUAGAAUCCUUUCACUGGUCGACUCAAUCCUAGUUUGGUGGAUUCUCAGCUGAAAUGGAAUAGAGGAGAAAAGGAAGAGUAAAAAAAACAGGACCUUCAUUCCCCCGGGGGAGUGUUCCAGUGGGAUUUGUAAUCAGAGAGCUGCUUAUUACAGUAUAUUAAUCCAAAAAUCCAGACCUAUUAAUAUUAUAUUAGAAAGAAACUAUUUUUUUUCCUUUUCUUCACUUUAGAAAAGUAGAGGAAGCGCACAGGUGGCUGAGCAUACAAACUGAAGAAAAAAUUGAAAUGCCAUUUUAAAAACUUGAAAGAUGCUGGGUUUUGGUCCACAGAUUACAAUACCAGUGUCCUAACUAAUGUCAGAGUUCUAGCCAGUGAAAAAUUAGAAAUGAGAGUCAUCUCUUCCCAUCAUGUCUGGGGUUACCACAUCUAACCUGGUUCUCUUGCCAAAGAACUUGCUCUCCAGGAUGGAUUACUCUGGAUAAACAUGAGAAACCUGCCAGCUUUGAGAUCCUGCGUUUGAGAGCCAGCAUUGGCUGGAUACACCAUGCAAGUGAUAGAGCAUUUGGACCAGGAAGAGAAUUUGGAAGUAAAGGGAAUUCAUGUAGCACAGUGUUCAGUUUUAAGAGCUUCAUCUAGGUGAAGACUCAUAAGUAAUAUACAUAUGGUAUAGCCAAGGUCUUUUAUGAAGGAAAAGUAACCACAGACAAAAAUUGUC